UCCGAAGGGGGCUAUCGUUGUUCGGAAUCACUGGGCGUAAAGCGCACGUAGGCGGCGCGUUAAGUCAGGGGUGAAAUCCUGGAGCUCAACUCCAGAACUGCCUUUGAUACUGGCGUGCUCGAGUGUGGGAGAGGUUGGUGGAACUCCGAGUGUAGAGGUGAAAUUCGUAGAUAUUCGGAAGAACACCAGUGGCGAAGGCGGCCAACUGGCCCAUUACUGACGCUGAGGUGCGAAAGCGUGGGGAGCAAACAGG
rnacentral:rRNA from 1 species